rnacentral:pre_miRNA from 1 species
AAAGUACUCCCUCCAUCCCAAAAUUCUUGUCUUAGAUUUGUCUAGAUACAGAUGUAUCAAGUCACAUUUUAGUAUUAGAUACAUCCGUAUCUACACAAAUCUAAGACAAGAAAUUUGGGACAGAGGGAGUAGUUC